rnacentral:rRNA from 1 species
ACGACCAUACCCACUGGAAAACUCGGGAUCCCGUCCGCUCUCCCAUAGAUAAGCCAGUGAGGGCUGGAGUAGUAGUCGGGUCGGUGACGACCGGCGAAUGCCCGGUGUUGUAUGUU